rnacentral:rRNA from 1 species
GACGUAGGGGGCGAGCGUUGUCCGGAAUUGCUGGGCGCAAAGAGCACGUAGGCGGGAACUUAAGUCAGGUGUGAAAGACCGUGGCUCAACCACGGGUAUGCAUUUGAAACUGGGUUUCUUGAGGGCAGGAGAGGAAAGCAGAAUUCCUGGUGUAGCGGUGAAAUGCGUAGAUAUUACACAGAACACCGAUUGCGAAGGCAGCUUGCUGGGUCAUUACUGACGCUGAUGCACGAAAGCGUGGGGAUCAAACAGGAUUAGA